rnacentral:rRNA from 1 species
UACGUAGGGUGCAAGCGUUAAUCGGAAUUACUGGGCGUAAAGCGUGCGCAGGCGGUUGGGCAAGUCACCUGUGAAAUCUCCUGGCUCAACUGGGAGCUUGCAGGCGAAACUGCCGUGCUGGAGUGUGGGAGAGGUGCGUGGAAUUCCUGGUGUAGCGGUGGAAUGCGCAGAUAUCAGGAGGAACACCAAUAGCGAAGGCAGCUCGCUGGGACGGUAUUGACGCUGAGGCGCGAAAGCGUGGGGAGCAAACAGG